rnacentral:tRNA from 1 species
GGUGAGGUGACCGAGCGGCUUAAGGUGCACGCCUGGAACGCGUGUGUAGGGAAACUUACCGAGGGUUCGAAUCCCUCCCUCACCGCCA